rnacentral:rRNA from 1 species
AGUGGACGCGAGCAUCUUUGGUUUUUUGUAAGUGUUCAAGAGCGUUCGGUGGAUGCCUUGGCAUACGGAGCCGAUGAAGGACGUUGUAGCCUGCGAUAAGCCUCGGGGAGUUGGCAAACGAGCUGUGAUCCGGGGGUGUCCGAAUGGGGGAACCUGGCCAGAGUUGUUUCUGGUUACCAGCAUCUGAAUGUAUAGGGUGUUUGGGGGUAACGCGGGGAAGUGAAACAUCUUAGUACCCGCAGGAAAAGAUAUUCUGUGAGUAGUGGCGAGCGAAAGCGGAUGAGGCUAAACCAUGCGCGUGUGAUAGCCAUCGGGUGUUGCGUGUGUGGUGUUGUGGGGCCAUGUUUGACCUUGCCGAUGUGGGGUCGGGUAGUGAUAAAUGCUAGCGUGUAGACGAAUCAGUUGGGAAGCUGGACCGUAGACGGUGAGAGUCCGGUAGUUGUAAUGUGUUAGCCUGCCUUAUGUGGUGCCCGAGUAGCACGGGGCCCGUGAAAUCCCGUGUGAAUCUGCACAGACCACUGUGUAAGCCUAAAUACUCCGUGUGACCGAUAGUGUAGUAGUACCGUGAGGGAAUGGUGAAAAGUACCCCGGGAGGGGAGUGAAAUAGUACCUGAAACCGGACGCUUACAAUCCGUCAGAGCCUCCUUGGUAGGGGUGAUGGCGUGCCUUUUGAAGAAUGAGCCUGCGAGUUAGUGGCAUGUAGCGAGGUUAACCCGUGUGGGGGAGCCGUAGCGAAAGCGAGUUUUAAAAAGCGGUUUUUAGUUGCAUGUUCUAGACCCGAAGCGGGGUGAUCUACCCAUGGGCAGGUUGAAGCACGUGUAAGAGCGUGUGGAGGACCGAACCCACUUCAGUUGAAAAUGGAGGGGAUGACCUGUGGGUAGGGGUGAAAGGCCAAUCAAACUCCGUGAUAGCUGGUUCUCCCCGAAAUGCAUUUAGGUGCAGCGUCGUGUGUUUCUUAUCGGAGGUAGAGCGACUGGAUGGCCGAUGGCCCUUAUCGGGGUACUGACGUCAGCCAAACUCCGAAUGCCGGUAAGUUAGAGCACGGCAGUGAGACUGCGGGGGAUAAGCUUCGUAGUCGAGAGGGAAACAGCCCAGACCGCCGGUUAAGGCCCCUAAGCGUGUGCUAAGUGGGAAAGGAUGUGGAGUUGCUGUGACAACCAGGAGGUUGGCUUAGAAGCAGCCACCCUUGAAAGAGUGCGUAAUAGCUCACUGGUCAAGUGAUUCUGCGCCGACAAUGUAGCGGGGCUUAAGUACACCGCCGAAACCGCGGCAAUGAAAUUUUUUUUGUUUUGUUGGGUAGGGGAGCGUCGUGCGUGAGGUGAAGCAGCACAGGUGACUGGUUGUGGAUUUCGUACGAGUGAGAAUGCAGGCAUGAGUAGCGAAUGACGGGUGAGAAUCCCGUCCGCCGAAUAACUAAGGGUUCCAGGGCCAGGUUCGUCCGCCCUGGGUUAGUCGGGUCCUAAGGCGAGGCCGACAGGCGUAGUCGAUGGGCAACCAGUUGAUAUUCUGGUACCGGCGAAAGACCGUCCGUGUUGAAUCGUGGGAUACUAACCAUCCGAGCUAUGGUUCCUUCCUUCGGGUUGGGGUUGUGGUGAGCGUGGGAACUGAUCGCGUAGUAGGCAAGCGUGUUAACAGGGGUGACGCAGAGUGGUAGCUUCGCGUGGCUAAUGGCUUGCCACGUUUAACAGCGCAGCCUGUUUCCUAGGUAAAUCCGGGAAGCGUGUAGGUGAGGCUGGAUGAUGACCCAUUUUUUGUGGGGAAGUAGAGUGAUCCUGUGCUGUCGAGAAAAGCCUCGACGUUAGGUCUUAGCCGCCCGUACCCUAAACCGACACAGGUAGUUGAGUAGAGAAUACUAAGGCGAGCGAGUGAAUCGUGGUUAAGGAACUCGGCAAAAUGCCCCCGUAACUUCGGAAGAAGGGGGGCCCGGACCUUGAAGCCUUUUAACAGGCUAGGGGGAAGGGCCGCAGAAACCAGGGAGAAGCGACUGUUUAUCAAAAACACAGGUCCGUGCGAACACGUAAGUGGAUGUAUACGGACUGACGCCUGCCCGGUGCUGGAAGGUUAAGAGGAACGGUUAAAAUACUUUUGUGUUUGAAGCUGUGAAUUUAAGCCCCAGUAAACGGCGGUGGUAACUAUAACCAUCCUAAGGUAGCGAAAUUCCUUGUCGGGUAAGUUCCGACCUGCACGAAUGGCGUAACGACUUCUCCACUGUCUCAACCGCGAACUCGGUGAAAUUGCAUUACGAGUAAAGAUGCUCGUUACGCGCAGCAGGACGGAAAGACCCCGGGACCUUUACUAUAGCUUGGUAUUGGUGUUCGGUACGGCUUGUGUAGGAUAGGUGGGAGACUUUGAAGCGGCCACGCCAGUGGUUGUGGAGUCAUUGUUGAAAUACCACUCUGGUCGUGCUGGAUGUCUAACCUUGGACCAUGAUCUGGUUCAGGGACAGUGCCUGGUGGGUAGUUUAACUGGGGCGGUUGCCUCCUAAAUGGUAACGGAGGCGCUCAAAGGUUCCCUCAGCCUGGUUGGCAAUCAGGUGUUGAGUGUAAGUGUACAAGGGAGCUUGACUGUGAGACCGACAGGUCGAGCAGGUACGAAAGUAGGAACUAGUGAUCCGGCGGUGGCUUGUGGAAGCGCCGUCGCUCAACGGAUAAAAGGUACCCCGGGGAUAACAGGCUGAUCCUGCCCAAGAGUUCAUAUCGACGGCAUGGUUUGGCACCUCGAUGUCGGCUCGUCGCAUCCUGGGGCUGGAGUAGGUCCCAAGGGUUGGGCUGUUCGCCCAUUAAAGCGGCACGCGAGCUGGGUUCAGAACGUCGUGAGACAGUUCGGUCCCUAUCCGCUGCGCGCGUAGGAAACUUGAAAAGGGCUGUCCCUAGUACGAGAGGACCGGGACGGACGAACCUCUGGUGUGCCAGUUGUACCGCCAGGUGCAUGGCUGGUUGGCUACGUUCGGGAAGGAUAACCGCUGAAAGCAUCUAAGCGGGAAGCCUGCUUUGAGAUGAGGUUUCCAUAAACAUUAUUGUUUUGUAGGCCCCCUAUAGACCAUGGGGUUGAUAGGCCAGGCGUGGAAGCAUCGUAAGGUGUGGAGCUGACUGGUACUAAUGGCCAACCAUUUACAAA